rnacentral:rRNA from 1 species
UACGAAGGGGGGCUAGCGUUGUUCGGAAUUACUGGGCGUAAAGCGCACGUAGGCGGAUCUUUAAGUCAGAGGUGAAAUCCCGGGGCUCAACCCCGGAACUGCCUUUGAUACUGGGGAUCUCGAGUUCGGGAGAGGUGAGUGGAACUGCGAGUGUAGAGGUGAAAUUCGUAGAUAUUCGCAAGAACACCAGUGGCGAAGGCGGCUCACUGGCCCGAUACUGACGCUGAGGUGCGAAAGCGUGGGGAGCAAACAGG